rnacentral:rRNA from 1 species
UUAACACAUGCAAGUCGAGGGGCAGCAUGGUCUUAGCUUGCUAAGGCCGAUGGCGACCGGCGCACGGGUGAGUAACACGUAUCCAACCUGCCGUCUACUCUUGGACAGCCUUCUGAAAGGAAGAUUAAUACAAGAUGGCAUCAUGAGUCCGCAUGUUCACAUGAUUAAAGGUAUUCCGGUAGACGAUGGGGAUGCGUUCCAUUAGAUAGUAGGCGGGGUAACGGCCCACCUAGUCUUCGAUGGAUAGGGGUUCUGAGAGGAAGGUCCCCCACAUUGGAACUGAGACACGGUCCAAACUCCUACGGGAGGCAGCAGUGAGGAAUAUUGGUCAAUGGGCGAGAGCCUGAACCAGCCAAGUAGCGUGAAGGAUGACUGCCCUAUGGGUUGUAAACUUCUUUUAUAAAGGAAUAAAGUCGGGUAUGGAUACCCGUUUGCAUGUACUUUAUGAAUAAGGAUCGGCUAACUCCGUGCCAGCAGCCGCGGUAAUACGGAGGAUCCGAGCGUUAUCCGGAUUUAUUGGGUUUAAAGGGAGCGUAGAUGGAUGUUUAAGUCAGUUGUGAAAGUUUGCGGCUCAACCGUAAAAUUGCAGUUGAUACUGGAUAUCUUGAGUGCAGUUGAGGCAGGCGGAAUUCGUGGUGUAGCGGUGAAAUGCUUAGAUAUCACGAAGAACUCCGAUUGCGAAGGCAGCCUGCUAAGCUGCAACUGACAUUGAG